AGAGUCGAUUGGACAGUCGCUGUCGCGCAAUAGCGCGGUGGAGGAAAGUCCGGGCUCCAUAGGGCAGAGUGCCAGGUAACGCCUGGGAGGCGCGAGCCUACGGAAAGUGCCACAGAAAAUAACCGCCUAAGCGCAACAGCGCCGGUAAGGGUGAAAAGGUGCGGUAAGAGCGCACCGCACGGCUGGCAACAGUGCGUGGCUAGGUAAACCCCACUCGGAGCAAGACCAAAUAGGAAUCCAUUGGCGCGGCCCGCGUUGGAUUCGGGUAGG
rnacentral:RNase_P_RNA from 1 species